rnacentral:rRNA from 1 species
GCUUGUCUCAAAGAUUAAGCCAUGCAUGUCUAAGUAUAAAUAACUCUAUACUGUGAAACUGCGAAUGGCUCAUUAUAUCAGUUAUAGUUUAUUUGAUAGUCCCUACUACUUGGAUAACCGUAGUAACUCUAGAGCUAAUACAUGCGCAAAUUCCCGACUGCUUCACGGCGGAAAGGAUGUAUUUAUUAGAUCCAACCAGCCCGGGCACCCGGGCAACCGGAGUCCCUGGUGAGUCAUGAUAACUGAGCGAAUCGCAUGGCCUUGCGCCGGCGAUGGUUCAUUCAAGUUUCUGCCCUAUCAGCUUUCGAUGGUAGGGUAUUGGCCUACCAUGGCGUUAACGGGUAACGGAGAAUUAGGGUUCGAUUCCGGAGAGGGAGCCUGAGAAACGGCUACCACAUCCAAGGAAGGCAGCAGG